GAAGGUAUAAUAGCUGCCCCCCCAUGGGGGCUUCACAGCGAUCCUCGCACGAGAGCCAUCGGAUCUUCCUUGCGACGAAUCUCGGCCGUCCGUUUUUCUUCACUGAGACAUAUAAAACGGACACAGCCACGGUGAGAAACCCUAGCCGCCGCCCGUCUCUCCCCAAUCCCGCGUCUCUCAUCCUUCCCCAAUCCCGUCGCUCUCCUCCUCCCCCAAUCCCAUCGUGGUUAACCCGCCGUCUCCCCAUCUUCCGGAUGAACUCGUCGCGUCGCCAUCGUCGGGAUGAAGGGCAGGCCGCCGCUCAUGCCCCCAGCCAUCUCGCCGGGAUGAAGGGCAGGCCACCGCUCAUGCCCCCAGCCAUCUCGCCGCUCGCAGUGCCGACGCGUCGUGCCGUCGCAGGGAGGAGCGUGGUUCGUGGCCGGCAGAUGCAGAGCAGUCCGUAGCUCGCACUGCCGCCGCGCCAUGCUUCGUCAUCGUCGGAAGGUCGCGAGGAGGCGAGGUCUGGAGGAAGCGCUCGAGCGGCGGCCGUCUGGGCUGUGCCCCUCCACCCUAUUUUUUGGGGCAGAAGGAGGGCUUCCAUGAUGUUAGCUGAUUCGUUGCUGCUAGUGAGAGAGAUGGGAAGUGGAAGAACAAAAGUUGAAGGAGAUGGAACAGGACACACCGAAUAACCACAUAUCUGCUCCAACAAAGGAGUGAACUACACUCACUCGGCAAUAAUCAGGAGUAGAUGAGGCGACAUGAAGAUUGCACGAGGAUGCGAGCUCGACAACAGGGCGAAAGGAUGAUGGCAUGAGGAUGCGGGUACAUUUUUAAAGUGCAUACUGCAGGUGUGCAAGAUGGUGGCUGACGAAUAUUCUUGAGUUCAACAAAAUGAAGUUUACUUAUCAGUUUGGUUUCAAUCUCAGUUCACCUUUGAUCAUUUUCUGAAGCAAAGUAAAACAGGGAAGUGCUCGAUGUUAUGUGCAUUCUCGCUGACUGUCUGUCGACGCAACGGGAGGGGUCGGUGUCAUGUACACUAAUUGAGUGGCGUGGAGGAGCUCCACCGUGAAGGAAACAGCUGGUUGGCAAUGGCUAAUUGUUGCAGCAGUGGUGUCAUUUAGAUUCGGGUUCAUGAAGAGCAUCCGAUGGACA